rnacentral:rRNA from 1 species
GACGAACGCUGGCGGCGUGCUUAACACAUGCAAGUCGAGCGGAGCGGCGAACGGGUGAGUAACGCGUGAGUAACUGCCCCCCUCUCUGGGAUAACAGUUGGAAACGGCUGCUAAUACCGGAUAACGGGGGAUGGCUCGCGGCCUAUCAGCUUGUUGGUGGGGUGAAGGGCUACCAAGGCGGUGACGGGUAGCCGGCCUGAGAGGGUGACCGGCCACAGUGGGCGGGGCGACGGCCCAGACGCCUACGGGGGGCAGAAGUGGGGGAUAUUGCAGAAUGGGCGAAAGCCUGAUGCAGCGAUCCGCGGGGGGGAUGAAGGUUUUCGGGUUGUAAACCUCUUCGUGCGAGAGCAGGGUAGGUGGAGAAGAAGCGCCGGCUAACUACGUGCCAGCAGCCGCGGUAAUUC